rnacentral:lncRNA from 13 species
AUGGUCAUCUUACCUCUUAGCUUUGGUGUCAUGUCCCACAGAGAGAUACAUUUUAGAGGAAGGGCCCCCCUCCUCUCUCUCCCCAGAGAGACUCAUUUUAGAGCACUGACCCCUAAACAGAGAUCCAACAUGUUGGUUGUGGUUAUUAACACAGUGACAACUAAACAGAGAUCCAACAUGUUGGUUGUGGUUAACACAGUGACCCCUAAACAGAGAUCCAACAUGUUGGUUGUGGUUAACAUAGUGACAACUAAACAGAGAUCCAACAUGUUGGUUGUGGUUAACACAGUGACAACUAAACAGAGAUCCAACAUGUUGGUUGUGGUUAACACAGUGACAACUAAACAGAGAUCCAACAUGUUGGUUGUGGUUAACACAGUGACAACUAAACAGAGAUCCAACAUGUUGGUUGUGGUUAACACAGUGACAACUAAACAGAGAUCCAACAUGUUGGUUGUGGUUAUUAACACAGUGACAACUAAACAGAGAUCCAACAUGUUGGUUGUGGUUAACACAGUAAUUAUUGAAGGUCAAUUGUUCUCUUUUAUUCAUUAUCUCUUAGAAAUAAAACAUUUACUAACAGACAUAGAAACAGUCAAGAGAUUUAAUGCAUCAAAUGAAUAUGUAGUCGUGAUUUAUAUUUUUCACCUUUUGUCCAUAAUAAUAAUAAUAUAAUAAUAAUAAUAACAAUAUAAUAUAUAAUAAUAUGAAUAAUAAUGUCUCAAUUUCUCUUUUAAUAAUUUCUCUCAUUCUAGUGUGUUGCUUUGUUCAACAGGUAUGAUAUUAUGAUGCUGUUACUGAAUUCAGUUCAUAAUAUUAAUGUUAAGAAAAGUCUGUUCAGUGGUUUCAUACCAAAUUACACAGGAAGCAGGAGCUCAUUGAAAUUUAGAAAACAACAAAUGUUCUGAUAUUCUGAAAGACGACUUACAAUUUCUACAUAAAAAAUAUACAAAUUGGAAAAUAACCGCGAUAUAGGAAUAUAUGAACAACAUGUUUUUGAAUGUGACUUGCCUACGCCCAGUUAGCUCCAUUUUGUAUGAUUGAACUGUCACGUAGCUGUCCCAGGUGAAAUGGACUAUUAGAUCUGAGUGUUUUACUGUCAUUCACUAUACUAAAAUAACACCAGACAUUGAAUUUUUCUACACACUUUACAAUAAUCCCUGGGAAGAUUCUUACCUUGUAGCCUGAAUUCACAACCAGAACAUGUCAAGUCAUUGAGAUAUUUUCCGUUGUGCUGAGAGAGAACCUUCCUGAUGACAAGUGUCUCUGUAUCUAUGUUCUAGGUUCAGUUGAUCUUUGGAUGUAAUAAUAUCUGGUCAAAGUCUAGUGACACAACACCAUAGUAUAUCAGAACCAUAACAACAGUUGGCCAGUAAAGGCCAUGGAAUACUAUAAAACAGGGUUCGUCAACUAGGUUUGGCUUCGGGACAAUUGUUUUCUGAGUUAAAGUCGGUGGGUCAGAACAUAAUUAACAUAUAAUAUUAGCACAGUGAAUAGGUCUACACUACAAAUUUAACGACAUGUUUAAUAUAUUUGAUUAGUACACAAUACAUUC